AAAAAAAAAAAAAAAAAAAAAAAAAAGAAAAAGAAAGUAAAGAAAGGAAGAAAAGAGAAGAGAAGAGGAAAAAAGAUCCCAUCCCGCGCUGGCGCAGGGGAUGCACACAACCCCCCUCGCUGAGCGGCUGGCUUCUCAUCCACGAUCUGCACCCCCCCUCGGUGCGCGGCUGACCUUUCCUCCCCGAUGUGCCCUCCCGGGCCCCCCAGAUUACUUAGGCUGUCAGUGCAACUCAAGAUUUACUUUUUUCUGUGAAGCCUCCCAUGCCCACAGUCUGCAUUAAUCAUCAAGCAAGCAGUAUUUGUAGAACAGCGAGGAUCAUGAUGCGGCAGCAGCGACCAGAGGGGCAAGUUAGCUCUCCUCAAGGGGCUUGCAGUCUACAGGGGACCUUAGGCUCCCUACAGGAAUCCCACAGAGGAUGAGUCUCACUGAACAGACUGGAGCUCACGGUCGUGACCCCAAACCUAACAAAUAUUUACUGACUGAUUUAUCAAGAUGGGCAUCCAAAUACGGUUGUGUCCACCGUCUGCCUGAAAACUUUUGGCAAUACUUUCUUGACUUCAGCGUUGCCGAAGAGAGCAUAACACUUCAGUUUUGAGUGAACGGGGCAGAACCAAAUUUAAAUGUAGGCUCUGCAAGUUUCAGGCUAUUUGAUCAGAGGCAUGGAAUGAGCCCACCUGUCUCAGGUGCCUUCUCUGUAAAAGGGGGAUAAUUAUUUGCCUGCGUCGUUCUCAAUGUGAAAAUGUCUGGGACUUGGCCUAGAGCAAAGUAGAUUUUCAACCCACGUUUGCACCUUUCCUCUUCUUUUUCAGGAAUUGAAAUUUCUCGAUGAAUUCAUGUAGAGCAGAGGCUAUUUCUGACUCAGUUAAAGGGGUAGGCAGCUGUGCUGAAUGAAGCCAGGUGUAAUGAGCAUCUGUCAUAGAUCUGUCUGUCUGUCUGUCUUCAUGCCAACAUUUCUCCCCUUUCCCGUAGGUAGGAAUACUCCACACUUCUCCUUGGGAAACUUUAAGUGGGUCUGGCGACGCUGUCUAUUGUGUGGCUCUGCCUCCCUGCCCUGGGCAGGUUUACGACCCAAGCAGAGCAACCCGAAUCUGUUUAGGGGGUUUUCAUAGACCCCAGGGUGGACAAGAUCCCUGGUUUCUUGAGUUGUAAGGAC